rnacentral:SRP_RNA from 1 species
CCGUGCUAGGCGGGGAGCCAGCGGUGCCCUGUACCCGCAAUCCGCUCUAGCGGGGCUGAAUCCCCGCCCGAGGCCCGGAUGGUCCGGGGCAGCUCUGGGCACGGAGCGUUGAUGGUCUGGUCCCACGUGACGUCGGUCCGCGAACCCGGUCAGAUCCGGAAGGAAGCAGCCGUAAGCGGUCGCCGGCGGGUGCCGUGGGUUCGCCUGGCCGGAGCUACCGAUCCAGGAGGCGCUCGAGUCGCCCGAGGUCGACGGCGGGUGCACGG